GACGAACGCUGGCGGCGUGCUUAACACAUGCAAGUCGAACGGAAAGGCCCUGCUUUUGUGGGGUGCUCGAGUGGCGAACGGGUGAGUAACACGUGAGUAACCUGCCCUUGACUUUGGGAUAACUUCAGGAAACUGGGGCUAAUACCGGAUAGGAGCUCCUGCUGCAUGGUGGGGGUUGGAAAGUUUCGGCGGUUGGGGAUGGACUCGCGGCUUAUCAGCUUGUUGGUGGGGUGGCUUACCAAGGCUUUGACGGGUAGCCGGCCUGAGAGGGUGACCGGCCACAUUGGGACUGAGAUACGGCCCAGACUCCUACGGGAGGCAGCAGUGGGGAAUAUUGCACAAUGGGCGGAAGCCUGAUGCAGCAACGCCGCGUGCGGGAUGACGGCCUUCGGGUUGUAAACCGCUUUCGCCUGUGACGAAGCGUGAGUGACGGUAAUGGGUAAAGAAGCACCGGCUAACUACGUG
rnacentral:rRNA from 1 species